GCGUUGUUCGGAUUUACUGGGCGUAAAGGGCGCGUAGGCGGCGUGGUAAGUCACUUGUGAAAUCUCUGAGCUUAACUCAGAACGGCCAAGUGAUACUGCUGUGCUAGAGUGCGGAAGGGGCAAUCGGAAUUCUUGGUGUAGCGGUGAAAUGCGUAGAUAUCAAGAGGAACGCCUGAGGUGAAGACGGGUUGCUGGGUCGCCACUGACGCUGAGGCGCGAAAGCCAG
rnacentral:rRNA from 1 species